UGGGGUGUAGCUCAACUGGCAGAGCGCCCGGCUGUUAACCGGGAGGUUGCUGGUUCGACCCCAGCCGCCCCAG
rnacentral:tRNA from 2 species